rnacentral:rRNA from 1 species
GAGACAGCAGCAGCCACGGUAAUACGAAGGGGGCUAGCGUUGUUCGGAAUUACUGGGCGUAAAGCGCACGUAGGCGGAUAUUUAAGUCAGGGGUGAAAUCCCAGAGCUCAACUCUGGAACUGCCUUUGAUACUGGGUAUCUGAGUAUGGAAGAGGUGAGUGGAAUUCCGAGUGUAGAGGUGAAAUUCGUAGAUAUUCGGAGGAACACCAGUGGCGAAGGCGGCUCACUGGUCCAUUACUGACGCUGAGGUGCGAAAGCGUGGGGAGCGAACAGGAUUAGAUACCCGCGUAGUCCCUGUCUCUUAUACA